GCCCGCCUAGCUCAAUCGGAUAGAGCGUCAGACUCUUACAAAGUCAAUCAGGCGGGAAAGACUAUCUGAAGGCUGCGAGUUCGACCCUCGCGGUGGGCU
rnacentral:tRNA from 1 species